UACGGAGGGUGCAAGCGUUAUCCGGAUUCACUGGGUUUAAAGGGUGCGUAGGUGGGUUGGUAAGUCAGUGGUGAAAUCUCCGGGCUUAACCUGGAAACUGCCAUUGAUACUAUCAAUCUUGAAUAUUGUUGAGGUAGGCGGAAUAAGUCAUGUAGCGGUGAAAUGCAUAGAUAUGACUUAGAACACCAAUUGCGAAGGCAGCUUGCUAAACAAUGAUUGACGCUGAGGCACGAAAGCGUGGGGAUCAAACAGG
rnacentral:rRNA from 1 species